rnacentral:rRNA from 1 species
UUCCUACGGGAGGCAGCAGUGGGGAAUAUUGCACAAUGGGGGAAACCCUGAUGCAGCAACGCCGCGUGAGUGAAGAAGGUUUUCGGAUUGUAAAGCUCUGUUAGCAGGGAAGAGGAAGGACGGUACCUGCAGAGGAAGCCACGGCUAACUACGUGCCAGCAGCCGCGGUAAUACGUAGGGGGCAAGCGUUAUCCGGAUUUACUGGGUGUAAAGGGAGCGUAGACGGCGAUGCAAGUCUGAAGUGAAAGCCCGGGGCUCAACCCCGGGACUGCUUUGGAAACUGUAUGGCUGGAGUGCUGGAGAGG